CCGAAUAUACCUACCAUUAUUAAUUUUCUAUAUGUUCCAAGAAAAAUAAUAUAAGUUAAAAUAUUCUAAAAAAACAAGAAACAUCAUAAGAAAUGAGGGUUGAAUUGUGUUCUUAGAAAAAUUGUAGUUUUUUACUUGUAUCAUUUGAUUGAUGAUUUGUCACAAUGUUUUCACCAACAAAAAAGGUUUUGUGUUCUUAGAAAAAUUGUAGUUUUUCACUUGUAUCAUUUGAUUGAUGAUUUGUCACAAUGUUUUCACCAACAAAAAUGGUUUUACACGCUUCCAAUAACAUCUGCAUAAAUGGAUAAGUUCAACACACAACAAAUACAAUUAUAUUAAAUUUAAAGCAUAAUUAUUCAAUAAAUAUUAAACUGAAAAUUUAUUAAAAUUUGAGUAUCAUUAUUUAAAGACGUUAUCUUAGUAUCAAACUGAAAAUUAAUGGUGUAAGAGUGUCAAGUUGUUCUAUGACAUCUGUCAUUAGUUGCAACACUAAAAUCUUGAAAAGAGUACACCUUUCACUCAACAAUGUCGUUCUGGAAUUUGUCCUCCUAACAAAUACAUGAAUUGUAUCUCCUGCAAAAAUGUGUGUGCAAAAUUAAACGAAUAUUAAAAUAGUGUAACAAAAAUAUUAUACUAAAAUACUAUAAUCUUGGAUUAUUUGAGCAUCCAAUUUUUUUCUUUUAAAAUUCACAUAUUAGUAUAUUUAUGAAUCACAAUGAUAUAAAUGAAUGAAUAAAAGAAAAAGAACUAACCACAUAUAUACAUAUAUAUUGAAAAAAAAAGGUAUUACAAAAUAUUAAAUAUAUAUAUAUAGAUAGAUUUCAAAAUUCAAAGUACCGACAAACGAACCAUAAACUAAACAGAACAUUGUUAGAAAAAUAAGGUUUAAAUCCUAUUAAAAAAAAGUAGUAAAAAAUCUAAUACAAAAUUUGAGAAAAAAAAAAAACAAAAACAAUGUCGAAACCAGUUCAGCUCAGAAAAACAAUGUCGAAAUCCCAAAAAAAAUCAAAAGUUGAAAAUAUAGAUGAGAGCGGAAAGAGGUUAAAAAACCUAAAAACUGAGAUCCACCAAAAACAUUUCCAUAGGCAAAAUCCUAAAAAUAUUAAAUAUAUAUAUAUAUAGAUAGAUUUCAAAAUUCAAAUACCGACAAACGAACCAUAAACUAAACAGAACAUUGUUAGAAAAAGAAGGUUUAAAUCCUAUUUAAAAAAUGUCGUUAAAAAUCUAAUACAAAAUUUGAGAAAAAAAAAAGAAAAUCAAUGUCGAAACCAGUUCAGCUCAGGAAAACAAUGUCGAAAUCCCAAAAAAAAUCAAAAGUUGAAAAUAUAGAUGAGAGCGGAAAGAGGUUAAAAAGCCUAAAAACUGAGAUCCACCAAAAACAUUUCCAUAAACAAAAUCCUAAACCCUAAAAACAUAAGAAACGUCCAAAACAUUUUCAGACGGUGAAAAAAGAAAAAUAUUACCACGAAAAGCGUUAUAGAACAAAGAGACGAAGCACAGUUUCAAUAAAAACAUAUCACAAUAACCAAUGUUCCUUUGACAGGCGUACAAAAACAAAACAAAGAUCUUUCGUUGGCGUGGUUGAAGAUAGGUGGAACCAUUUCUAGGAAAAGGUUAGGAUAGAGGAUUGGUUAAAACCUAAAACGACGAUUGGGUUUGACGGAGAAAAGCACAAAGAGCAAAAGCGCAGAGAGUGAGCAUGACAGAGAAAACGAAAACGCACCGUUUGAGAGAAAUGAAUUAUGAUUGAGUGGAUCAGUCGUCAUGUCAAUCAUAGAGGCCUCAACGUGUUUGCGUGUCGGAAAAAAACAAAAACCCUAGCGAAGCGAAAUGGUUGAAAGAGCAUGGAGUGUGAGAUGAGAAAUGGGUAAUUUGUGAGGUGAAGCGCCUUGUGCCACCUCCAAACUACUAGGUAGUUUUUCUUCUUCUCGUAAGUUUUUUUUUUUUUUUUUUUAAUAAAAAUCCUAGAAGUCACACGUGUAAAACUAGGUUGGAAGUAGUUUCUAAUUAUAAUAGAUAGAUAUAAAAUAAAUGUAUUUAAACGCUAGUAACGAAUGUAUUGUAACAUACAAGGGAUA
rnacentral:lncRNA from 1 species